GCGACACUGUGAAAAAUUGUUGUGUAUACAAAUAUCACAAUGUCUGCAAUGCAUGGGUGGCACGGAGAUUACCCCAGUGAUAACAAUUUCGGUCCCACAUUAUUUGCCAACAAAGACAUUCGAUCUGAGGAAGAUUUAAAAAGAGAAGAGAGACUAUCAGAACAUUAAUCAACAAAGUAAAAAGGAGUGUGCGUGUGAGGGGUGUCCAUGCAGUGUCUGU